rnacentral:rRNA from 1 species
CGCGUGGGAACGUACCCUUUACUACGGAACAACUCCGGGAAACUGGAGCUAAUACCGUAUGUGCCCUUUGGGGGAACCCGCGUUGGAUUAGCUAGUUGGUGGGGUAAAGGCCUACCAAGGCGACGAUCCAUAGCUGGUCUGAGAGGAUGAUCAGCCACAUUGGGACUGAGACACGGCCCAAACUCCUACGGGAGGCAGCAGUGGGGAAUAUUGGACAAUGGGCGCAAGCCUGAUCCAGCCAUGCCGCGUGAAUGAUGAAGGCCUUAGGGUUGUAAAGUUCUUUCACCGGAGAAGAUAAUGACGGUAUCCGGAGAAGAAGCCCCGGCUAACUUCGUGCCAGCAGCCGCGGUAAUACGUAGGGUGCAAGCGUUAAUCGGAAUUACUGGGCGUAAAGCGUGCGCAGGCGGUUUUGUAAGACAGAGGUGAAAUCCCCGGGCUCAACCUGGGAACUGCCUUUGUGACUGCAAGGCUGGAGUGCGGCAGAGGGGGAUGGAAUUCCGCGUGUAGCAGUGAAAUGCGUAGAUAUGCGGAGGAACACCGAUGGCGAAAGCAAUCCCCUGGGCCUGCACUGACGCUCAUGCACGAAAGCGUGGGGAGCAAACAGGAUUAGAUACCCUGGUAGUCC